rnacentral:rRNA from 1 species
GACGAACGCUGGCGGCGUGCUUAACACAUGCAAGUCGAACGAAGUGGCGAACGGGUGAGUAAUACGUGGUUAACCUGCCCUCCUUUUUGGGAUAAGCCUUGGAAACGGGGUCUAAUACCUAAUAAAGUGGGAUGGGCUCGCGGCCUAUCGGCUUGUUGGUGGGUUGAUGGCCUACCAAGGCGGUGACGGGUAGCCGGCCUGAGCGGGUGACCGGCCACAUUGGGACUGGGAUAAGGCACAGAAUCCGACGGGAGGGAGCAGGGGGGGAUAUUGCACAAUGGAAGAAAGCCUGAUGCAGCGACGCCGGGUGGGGGAUGAAGGAUUUCGGGUUGUAAACCGCGUACGCUAUCGAAAGGGUAGGUGGAGAAGAAGCGCCGGCUAACUACGUGCCAGCAGCCGCGGUAAUUC